AAAAGAAAUGUCACAGUUUCUACUUUAACAAUAGUUCUGACCUUUGAGUAAAAUUUGGUAAGUGCUAUUUGUUGGGGGUUGUUUUAAGGA
rnacentral:pre_miRNA from 1 species